GUCCAGGUGGCGCAGUGGUCAGCGCAUCUGCCUGGUAAGUAGGAGGCCUGGGUUUGAAUCUCGGGCUGGGACA